rnacentral:rRNA from 1 species
CAGUAGCCGCGGGAAUACGAAGGGGGCUAGCGUUGCUCGGAAUUACUGGGCGUAAAGGGAGCGUAGGCGGAUCGUUUAGUCAGGGGUGAAAUCCCGGGGCUCAACCUCGGAACUGCCUUUGAUACUGGCGAUCUUGAGUGCAGAAGAGGAGAGUGGAAUUCCACGUGUAGCGGUGAAAUGCGUAGAGAUGUGGAGGAACACCAGUGGCGAAGGCGACUCUCUGGUCUGUAACUGACGCUGAGGAGCGAAAGCGUGGGGAGCGAACAGGAUUAGAUACCCCCGUAGUCCCUGUCUCUUAUAC